CAAAAUCUAAUACUCUAAUAAGGAGAUUCAAGGAAAAGUGCAAUGAAUUGAAAAAUGUUGGGGCAGAGUUGGAGCUAAAAUCGACUGAAUUAAGGCAGUUUCCUGGUAUGUUCAAUUCUCAAAAUGAUCUGCCUAGAGGGAAAAGACGUUUCAUGUCAACACCUGCAACCUGUGUGAACAUAACAGAUUUUCAGAUGUAUGUCCUGCCUAAACCAUCCCUUGUCACUCCAAAAGGCUCAGAAGACCUAGAGUUUGCACAUGCAGGCCUGGGUAAAAGACUUCUGAGUCUUCCAGACAACUUUCAACAGAGAUUGUUUCUCAGCUUGAGGAUGAAUUUCCAAAAUUGAAAAGUCUACAAGGAGGUUGGAUGUUUUACAAAUCGACAGGUAUUGGUUACAUU